rnacentral:rRNA from 1 species
UACGGAGGGUGCAAGCAUUAAUCGGAUUUAUUGGGCGUAAAGGGCGUGUAGGCGGGAGAGUAAGUCGAAUGUGAAAUUCCAAGGCUCAAUUUUGGGACUGCAUUUGAAACUACUCAUCUUAGAGGAUUGGCGGAGAAAAUGGAAUUCCACAUGUAGCGGUGAAAUGCGUAGAUAUGUGGAAGAACACCUGUGGCGAAAGCGGUUUUCUAGCUUAUACCUGACGCUGAGGCGCGAGAGCAAGGGGAGCAAACAGG